rnacentral:rRNA from 1 species
CAGGUUUACCUGUGUGACUGCGUACCUUUUGUAUAAUGGGUCAGCGACUUAUAUUCUGUAGCAAGGUUAACCGCAUAGGGGAGCCGGAGGGAAACCGAGUCUUAAUUGGGCGUUAAGUUGCAGGGUAUAGACCCGAAACCCGGUGAUCUAGCCAUGGGCAGGUUGAAGGUUGGGUAACACUAACUGGAGGACCGAACCGACUAAUGUUGAAAAAUUAGCGGAUGACCUGUGGCUGGGGGUGAAAGGCCAAUCAAACCGGGAGAUAGCUGGUUCUCCCCGAAAGCUAUUUAGGUAGCGCCUCGUGAAUUCAUCUCCGGGGGUAGAGCACUGUUUCGGCUAGGGGGCCAUCCCGGCUUACCAACCCGAUGCAAACUGCGAAUACCGGAGAAUGUUAUCACGGGAGACACACGGCGGGUGCUAACGUCCGUCGUGAAGAGGGAAACAACCCAGACCGCCAGCUAAGGUCCCAAAGUCAUGGUUAAGUGGGAAACGAUGUGGGAAGGCCCAGACAGCCAGGAUGUUGGCUUAGAAGCAGCCAUCAUUUAAAGAAAGCGUAAUAGCUCACUGGUCGAGUCGGCCUGCGCGGAAGAUGUAACGGGGCUAAACCAUGCACCGAAGCUGCGGCAGCGACGCUUAUGCGUUGUUGGGUAGGGGAGCGUUC